CCCUCUGGAGCCAGGAGGCACCGCCGCUCGCCGCCGGCCCCGCCGCCCCCCGCCUCUCCUCGGCGGGGCAGGCGCUACCGCCGCGUUCCGGGAUGCUGCUCUCCGAAAAAGAAAGAGUCUUCAGUUCAAGAUAACAACUUUACAUCAUCUGUGAAAAUGAAACCAUACACUUUUUGGAGUACAGGAGCUUCUUAUAUUGGCUACAUUCUUCAUUAAAGUUCUUCUCGCCUAACACUAGCGCAGUUCAAUCGCCUUCUCUCCCCAGCCCAUGACCUGAUUAGAUUGAAGUUCCUAGGCUGUACAACAGGUCACUACUGCUGUAGGCUGUGAGGAAGACUGUCAUUAACGUUUCUGAAUUACUGCAGCAGCAGCAUGACGAGCCACCAGGGCAGCACCCGUGCAAUGUGCAGUUAGUAUCUAAAAAGUCACAGCUGUGGAGAACUUCUACUAAAUAAAAGGCUAGAGAGUCAAAAAUCAGGAAGGAAAAAAAUCCUAAGGCUGAAUAAAGUCACAAAUGGACAAGUUAAGAAACUGGCCAUGGAAGGUAUGUUUCAAGGCAUCUCUGUUCCAAAGCUGCUCUGAUUCCAGUUGUUGCUCAUGCCUUUGUAAUUAUUCUGGUAGAACUGACCACCCAACCCAGACGUGUGUCUGGGGUGACAGUUUGCUUGUUCCAAUGCUUUUUGCUGUUUCCUGGAGAAAAAGUGCACAGGAGAUCUGACCAACAGGAAUCAUUCAGAUACGAGCAGGCAUUUUCUGUGCAUGAGCCAGACAGCAACCAUUUGAAAAACUGGUGAGUAUGUUGACAGAGCACUGAGGCAGUAAUUUAACCACCUUUUGGUGACGCUGUCUGUUUCUCUACAUAACAUCCUUUUUGCUUCUAAAAAGAGCAAAGGAAAUAAGGGCUUUUAUUGGUUCCCCACUCUGGGAAUAUCCAGUUUUGUGCUAACCCUCCAAGAGUACAUACUGCAAAUGAUUCAUUCCUCACGCAAAAGGGCAAAAGUGCUCCCAAAUCUUAUUAACUUGAUGUUUCUUAAACCCUUUUUUAAUCCUGUUUUAUAGAAAGAAAAUAUUACAGCUAUGUUUGUAUUUAGCCCUACAUGUGCGAAAUAUCUUUCAGAUUAAACAUAGAUAACUUCUACAAUUUUAAUUUCCCAUGGGAUUUGAGUUUCCUUUCCAAUUUCUGAUUAACAGAUUGGUCACAGAGGUCCCAACUAAAAGACUGUGAGAGUAAGCUAUAUUUAGGUUCCCUGCCCUAAAUCCAUCAAUUAUAAUACAAACUAUUUUUUUUGUAGUCAAGAUAUUUUCGCCAACGACAAAAGUUUUCUUUCAAAAUAAUUGCUUAAAGAAAUCAAGAAAUGAGAAAAGGAUGACUAGAGAGCACCACAAGGUAAACACAAGACCCUUCUACCCCUGAAACACAGGGUGAAAAUUUUGAGAUAAGCUCAUACACACUUCAGGAGGUCUGAAAUGGGUCUGGAAAUUCCAGGAAAACGGGAUCUCUUAUGAAUUUUUCAAGUUCCCCCAAAGUCUGGCCAUGCAAAUAACACAGUUAUUCACACUUCUCUCAUGAGAGUUAAUGUUUUUGUCUGGACCCAAGAAUUUCAAAGGAUCAAGAAAAUUAAUAGGAGCCAGUGGGAAACAAUUAUUAAACUAAUAGUUAACAGAGCUCUUUGUUUAAAGUUUGAGUUGUGUGUUGAGUUACAGGUUGGGUUAAUUUGUUUUUAGUGGAAAUGUGAUUCCAAUCAGAAGUCAAAUUAAUCUUGUACCACAAAGAUUGACAAUUCCUGUUCCAAAGAAAUCCAUAACUGAGAUACUGGAAGUGCUGCAGCAGCAGCAGCAGCAAGGCAAGGGUGCUCAGGCUAACAUAUUGGAAAACUUUCAAAUGACAACUGAGAGGGCCAGUUUGGAGGCUCCCUCCUGUCAGCUGUGGAAUCCAUGGUAGUGGAGACAACAGAAGAGACAGAUACCUUUCCUUCCAGAGAAAACCUACACUGGGAGAAGUUCUACGAAGAGCUGGCUGUUUACUCAGCUCUCCUAACCUUACCAUACAAAACAUACAAUCUAACUCACCCUCUGCUUCCUCAGCAGGGUGUUUCACUGUACCUGUCCCUGGCUGGGCACCACCUUCCUGUCUGGUGGUGCCCAGUUCUCUAGACUGACUACAGAGCAAAUCUAAACUAUUCACACAGACAAGACUCCUAACUUCUCUAUAGUAAAAUUCACCAGACAGAAUGCCACCCUCAGAAGCAUCUUCUCCAUCCUCAUCCUAUUUAACUGCCCUAAAAUACUGUAAAAAGACUGUUAGGCAAUUUCAUACUGAUAGCUUUCCAUGCAAGUGAUUAUCAUAGUGGGGUGCUGAAAAACAGGAGAAAUAGCUGCACGAGCACGUGGAAAGGCGAAUGUCCAAAUGGCAUUCCUUCUAUUAUGAUGUAAUGAACCUUGAGAAAUUGGGAAUAUAAUGCCUAGCCGGAGGUGUACCAAAGGAUGUUUUAAAUUAGAGUAAUUAACUGGCAGAAAAGCUCAUACAUUCAGCUGGUCCAAAGCGGUGAGGCUUUGUUCACUUCAGUGCCAGCUGGGUAUGCACAAGGAAAUUUUUACUGAAGUCAAGGCAGUGUAAUUUCCAGGCCACAAGAAUGCUUUACAAACCUAUCUCUCAUAUCUGUGGGUUUGAUGAUUCAGUGCUUCCAGCAACAUUAGGAAGAAAGACUUAAGCUCUCUCUGGUCCACUUCUGAGGCAUUCCUGCGAACUCUAUCUAGAUUAAGUGAAAAAGCUUUGAGAGCAAUCGGUGCCCAGUGACACAAACUGCAAACUUCCAAGCAGAAGUCGUAGAUCGAUGUGACCCUUCCUGUAACAUCCCCUUUUCUAAAGCAGGAUGUAAGAAAGCUCUUUGUUCCUUAUAUAUCAUCUGUCUUUGAAACACACUAUCUAGUAACAGUGACUCUUUAGGACAUAGCACACAGUGAGAAUAAUACAACUAGAAAAGCCUGUAAUAGUUACAAAUAACAUCCACGGUUUAAAAAGUAUUGAACAUGAGAUUAGGGUUAAUCUCUGCAGGACACACAUAAAUGGAUCUGAUUUUAAAACUGUUUCUUCCCAAGGCAGGAAAAAGGAGUUCUAACCAAUGAAGUACAUGUGGGAAAACAAAGGAGAGUUUAAAUAUUUAUGAAAAUCAUGUAUCAUACAUGUACACUACAAGAUAGGUAAGACAUUACAGUUUGAAGAAAAUGUUCAUGUUAAGUAAGCUUGCUACUUUCAGUAAGGCCUAAGGAAGCACAUCCCAUAACAAAAGGCUUCUUGAAAGCUUCUGUCUCCUUCAGAUAGCACUUGUCAGUGCAGCUUCCAAUUAUGUUCAAUAUUUCUCAUUAGAACUCCUCUUACCCUGGCUGAGUAAUUGCUUUUUGAUUAUUGAUUAUUUCUUAUGGUGUUUCUGGCAUUAAUUUAGAGGGGAUGUAAAAUUUCAACAUAUCAAAGACAAUUAGAUAUUCCUAUGAAAAAUAGGGAAUUGAUACAUUUUAAUUAUGCCCUGUAGCUCUGAAUAUGGGCUGAAAAUUGGAGAUAGGGCUAUUCAGUGAAGGGCAGGAAACACUACAUAGUUACCUUAUAACCUCAUACCUGUUUUUUGAAACAAAAUCAGUUUUGUUGCUGAAUUUUAUUGAAACAGUGCUAAAAUAAGUUGUCUUGUAAUGAUUUGCGCUCCAGAGGUGGGCUUCUUGCCCGCAGUACUGUUAAAAACCCUCUACAAAUGUUAAGCCUGGCAUUUACUGAAGUGUGUUAUUCUACUGAUUUUAAUGGACUUAAAACUACCCAGCUAGAAGUGGAAGGAGAAAGGUGAACAUCCUUGGUUUUUCACUGUGGCAUCCAGUUUCUGCCAAGCUAAUAACAUGCCUUUGUACAAUCUAAAUGUCUUGGGCUUUUUUUGUUUGUCGGUAUGUUUGUUGUAAGAUGCAGAAGAACAGGAGUGCGCCAGAAAAGGCAACAAAUAAUAAAACCAAAAAUCUG